GACAGAGGAUGCAAGCGUUAUCCGGAAUGAUUGGGCGUAAAGCGUCUGUAGGUGGUUAUUAAGUCUACUGUUAAAGAUCAGGGCUUAACCCUGAGCAGGCAAUACGAAACUAAUAGGCUAGAGUACGGUAGGGCAGAGGGAAUUCCGGUGUAGCGGUGAAAUGCGUAGAGAUCGGGAAGAACACCAACGGCGAAGCACUCUGCUGGCCGAAACUGACACUGAGAGACGAAAGCUAGGGGAGCAAAUG
rnacentral:rRNA from 1 species